UGGCGCCGCGCCCAAGACUCAAAGCGGCGGGCAGCCCGGCCUCCGCUCCGCUCCGCUCCCGCCGCAGCCAGGACACCGGCGAGGUAUCUCCCCAAGCUGCGUUUCCCACGCUCUUCCCAGACACACAGCUGCCGACCAAUCCACCCUCGCCUGCACCCCCGGGGCGGAUCCCACGUGUGGCCGAGGAGCAGGCAGGAGGCUGCGGGCAUCCCCGGCGGGGCCGCCGCCGCCGCCGCCUCCCUCCACCGCCGCGUCACGUCUGCCUCACGGACCCGCUGCCCCUUCCCCGGCCCGCGCCCACGGCGGCUGCAGCCUCCCCCCGCCCGGGCCCGGGACACUUGCCUGUGACAGCGGGUCAGGAAGCAGGAAGCGGGGGCAGAGCCGCCGUCGGGGCCACCGGGUGCGCUCGCCCCAGCGGGCGGAAGCGGCGCGCGGCUCCAGGUGGCUGCGGGGCAGGGCGAGGGGCGGCCGCGCCGGGGCGCACACGGCUGAGGCGUCCCGUCCCGUCCCGCCCCGUCCACCCUCCCGCAGCCCCCGCGACUCACCUGAGGCGGGGCCGGGCCCUCCCGCCUCCGCCCCGCCCGGGGUGUCUCCCGGCGCGCCCUGCCCUCUAGCGGCGCGGCCUCCCCCGGCAGCGCCCGGCUCAGGGUCCCCGCGGGCACGGGCCUCGGCAGCCCAGGGGCCCAGGUCCUCGCCGCCGCAGGAGGUCCGGCCCUGCCCCGACCCUCAGGGCUCCCCCUUGCCCGCUGCUAUCGCUUCAGACCCGCGGGGCUCGAGUAGGGCCCUUUUGGGGGUGCCGCAGGGUGCCUCCUCUUCACAGGAUCAACCCAGAGACUUCUAACAGCCAUGCCACCGUGCCCGGCCGUGCUUCCAGUGGCGGCAGGAUGGCUCCGCAGUGCUUUUCAACCAGUGUGUUGCAGCACGCUCCCCCGCGUGCCGCAAGAAUUUUGGAAUAAUGAGAAGAAAGUUCUCCACUGCCUGGUGUGAACAAGUAAGCCGCAUUGAUGAGCUAUUCACAGAAGACUGGCACAUGUGUUGGCUGUGGGGGAGAAGGAGAACCAGCAAAGCAGAAGGAAAUUUAUCUACUGUGCAUGUGUUGGUGGUGGGGGAUGUGUAGGUCACAAGCCUCUGAACAGCUGUGCUGUGCAAUUUUGCUGUGGCAAAUGAGCUAAAGUGAGCUCAUGCUUUAACAUGGAAGGUGUGCCAGGGAAAAGUUUUAUUAAUGUAAGUGUGCCUUGGGCUGGAAAAGAUGGGGAAACACUGCUUUAUAGUAUAGUUUCUCUAUACUAGGGUCAUCCAAUACUUUUCAGAAACUUUAGAUCAACAUCUUAUCUCAUUGCUACUAAUUACUCUCAUCAUCUCCAAAACCCCUUUUGUUCUAUUGUAUAUCUUUUCUGAGGUAGGGUUACAGGAGGUUAGCACUACAUACAAUUUCAUCAUAGCCACCCAUGGAAUAGUCAGUAUUAUUUUGCACCCCUACCUUCCUGCAUCUUGCUUUUUCAUGAUUACCAUUGCACCUUUUCUACAAAUUAAUCAAGCUACAGGCUUGACUUCUGCAUUAUGCUACUUAAUUGCAUCCUCUCCCUUUGUUUCCCUGCAGCCCCCCUGGCUGGGGUACAUUAAACAAAGGCUUCUUUAUCUACCAACCUUUUCAACCUGGCUCUCCUGUUUCUGUCGGAUAUGUUCCUUUUCAUGCUGACAGAAGGAUAUAUAACCUCAUCAACUGUCUGUUCUCAAAAACUCCUCUGUUACUGAGGAACACAGCUAGCUCAGAAAGCUGAAUGCUUCAAGAUCACAGAAACUAGAGAUGAGUUAUAAAAACAAAAGCAACCUCAUCACAAAACAUAAUAAAGGACUAUAAAACAGGUGCAAAGAAAACAGGAUGGUGCCAAGCAACGUUCCAAGACAGUGAAACAAGCUUAUCCAGGGCUGCCUGAUGCUCGGGUCCUCAUCGCCAGAUAACGUCAUUCCUGAGAAGCGCUCUCAAUGGGGCCAUCAGGCUCGACUCAUGUGGAACGUAUUGUGCUAAGUACUGAAUGUUUCCGAGGAGUCUCCAAAGGCCUUCUUUGUGUGUUGGAGGGGGCAUCCUGUUGAUGGCUUCCACUUUGUCAUCGUCUGGUUUGACACCAUCUUUUGAGAAGAUAUGGCCCAUAUCUGUAGACUAAAAACUGUAUUUUGUCCUUAUUAAAAACUUUACUCCUUUCA